AUUGAACGCUGGCGGCAGGCCUAACACAUGCAAGUCGAACGGUAACAGGAAGAAGCUUUCUUCUUUGCUGACGAGUGGCGGACGGGUGAGUAAUGUCUGGGAAACUUCCUGAUGGAGGGGGUUAACUACUGGAAACGGUAGCUAAUACCGCAUAACGUCGCAAGACCAAAGAGGGGGACCUUCGGGCCUCUUGCCAUCUGAUGUGCCCAGAUGGGAUUGGCUAGUAGGUGGGGUAACGGCUCACCUAGGCGACGAUCCCUAGCUGGUCUGAGCGGAUGAACAGCCACACUGGAACUGAGACACGGUCCAGACUCCUACGGGAGGCAGCAGUGGGGAAUAUUGCACAAUGAGAGCAAGCCUGAUGCAGCCAUGCCGCGUGUAUGAAGAAGACCUUCGGGUUGGAAAGUACUUUCAGUGGGGAGGAAGAGAGUAAAGUUAAUACCUUUGCUCAUUGACGUUACCCGCAGAAGAAGCACCGGCUAACUCCGUG
rnacentral:rRNA from 1 species